rnacentral:tRNA from 1 species
ACCUAGUUAGCUCAGUCGAGAGAGCACUCACCUUGUAAGCGGGAUGGCCCGGGUUCUAGUCCCGUACUGGCUG